CUUCGGACUGGCCCAGGGAGGUCGGCAACGACCACCCAGGGCCGGAAAGUUGGUCAAACUCGGUCAUUUAGAGGAAGUAAAAGUCGUAACAAGGUCUCCGUAGGUGAACCUGCGGAGGGAUCAUUA
rnacentral:rRNA from 1 species